AUUGAACGCUGGCGGCAGGCCUAACACAUGCAAGUCGAGCGGAUGAGUGGAGCUUGCUCCAUGAUUCAGCGGCGGACGGGUGAGUAAUGCCUAGGAAUCUGCCUGGUAGUGGGGGACAACGUUUCGAAAGGAACGCUAAUACCGCAUACGUCCUACGGGAGAAAGCAGGGGACCUUCGGGCCUUGCGCUAUCAGAUGAGCCUAGGUCGGAUUAGCUAGUAGGUGAGGUAAUGGCUCACCUAGGCGACGAUCCGUAACUGGUCUGAGAGGAUGAUCAGUCACACUGGAACUGAGACACGGUCCAGACUCCUACGGGAGGCAGCAGUGGGGAAUAUUGGACAAUGGGCGAAAGCCUGAUCCAGCCAUGCCGCGUGUGUGAAGAAGGUCUUCGGUUUGUAAAGCACUUUAAGUUGGGAGGAAGGGCAGUAAGUUAAUACCUUGCUGUUUUGACGUUACCAACAGAAUAAGCACCGGCUAACUUCGUGCCAGCAGCCGCCGUAAAAC
rnacentral:rRNA from 1 species